rnacentral:rRNA from 1 species
CCUACGGGAGGCAGCAGUGGGGAAUAUUGCACAAUGGGCGAAAGUCUGACCCAGCAACGCCGCGUGAAGGAAGAAGGCCUUCGGCUCGUAAACUUCUAUCAACAGGGACGAAGGAAAUGACGGUACCCGAAUCAUAAGCCACGGCUAACUACGUGCCAGCAGCCGCGGUAAUACGUAGGGGGCAAGCGUUAUCCGGAAUUACUGGGUGUAAAGGGUGAGUAGGCGGCAUGGUAAGUCAGAUGUGAAAGCCCUGGGCUCAACCCCAGGACUGCUUUUAGAACUGUCGGGCUAGAGUACAGGAGAGGAAAGCGGAAUUCCUAGUGUAGCGGUGGAAUGCGUAGAUAUUAGGAAGAACACCAGUGGCGAAGGCGGCUUUCUGGACAGAAACUGACGCUGAGGCACGAAAGCGUGGGGAGCAAACAGGAUUAGAUACCCGAGUAGUC